AGUGAACGCUGGCGGUAGGCCUAACACAUGCAAGUCGAACGGCAGCACCGUAAGAGCUUGCUCUUACGGGUGGCGAGUGGCGGACGGGUGAGGAAUACAUCGGAAUCUACUUUUUCGUGGGGGAUAACGUAGGGAAACUUACGCUAAUACCGCAUACGACCUACGGGUGAAAGCAGGGGAUCUUCGGACCUUGCGCGAUUGAAUGAGCCGAUGUCGGAUUAGCUAGUUGGCGGGGUAAAGGCCCACCAAGGCGACGAUCCGUAGCUGGUCUGAGAGGAUGAUCAGCCACACUGGAACUGAGACACGGUCCAGACUCCUACGGGAGGCAGCAGUGGGGAAUAUUGGACAAUGGGCGCAAGCCUGAUCCAGCCAUACCGCGUGGGUGAAGAAGGCCUUCGGGUUGUAAAGCCCUUUUGUUGGGAAAGAAAAGCAGCAGGUUAAUACCCCGCUGUUCCGACGGUACCCAAAGAAUAAGCACCGGCUAACUUCGUG
rnacentral:rRNA from 1 species